GCCUGUCCUGCUGAGUAUCCCUGUUUUUAUUUAAAUGAACUAUUAAAUCCUGGCUAUCAUCGCACUUCUUGAGAGAUGGCCCAUCUGCAUUGACCCAGAUGACUGGUGCUGGAUGCCAGUCAAGUGGCCAACUUGUACUGGAUGAUAUCAAGUUCCUUGAGAAUUGUUGGAUCCGUAUUCACCUGGUCAAGUUACACUCCAGACUUGUGCCUUGUAGAUGAUGGAAAGGCUUUCGGGUAUCAGAGGUGUCAGAAGGGACUGAUUAUCAGUUGCCAAUCUUGGAUUUUGGACAUCGAUCCGUGAAGAGCAAAACAUGGGAAGGAGUUCCUACAGAAAGUGAAAAAAAAGGAAGCCUGAAUCAAAAGUGAGGAGAAAGAUUUCUUUUAAAUGCAUCAGCCAAUGAUUUUUUUUGAAAAGAAAGGCCUAUUUAAGUGUGGCGUUG